rnacentral:rRNA from 1 species
GGUUAAGCGACUAAGCGUACACGGUGGAUGCCCUGGCAGUCAGAGGCGAUGAAGGACGUGCUAAUCUGCGAAAAGCGUCGGUAAGGUGAUAUGAACCGUUAUAACCGGCGAUGUCCGAAUGGGGAAACCCAGUGUGAUUCGUCACACUAUCGUUAACUGAAUACAUAGGUUAACGAGGCGAACCGGGGGAACUGAAACAUCUAAGUACCCCGAGGAAAAGAAAUCAACCGAGAUUCCCCCAGUAGCGGCGAGCGAACGGGGAGCAGCCCAGAGUCUGAAUCAGCUUGUGUGUUAGUGGAACGGUCUGGAAAGUCCGACGGUACAGGGUGAUAGUCCCGUACACCAAAAUGCACAGGUUGUGAACUCGAAGAGUAGGGCGGGACACGUGGUAUCCUGUCUGAAUAUGGGGGGACCAUCCUCCAAGGCUAAAUACUCCUGACUGACCGAUAGUGAACCAGUACCGUGAGGGAAAGGCGAAAAGAACCCCGGCGAGGGGAGUGAAAAAGAACCUGAAACCGUGUACGUACAAGCAGUGGGAGCACCUUCGGGUGUGACUGCGUACCUUUUGUAUAAUGGGUCAGCGACUUAUAUUCUGUAGCAAGGUUAACCGUAUAGGGGAGCCGCAGGGAAACCGAGUCUUAACUGGGCGUUAAGUUGCAGGGUAUAGACCCGAAACCCGGUGAUCUAGCCAUGGGCAGGUUGAAGGUUGGGUAACACUAACUGGAGGACCGAACCGACUAAUGUUGAAAAAUUAGCGGAUGACUUGUGGCUGGGGGUGAAAGGCCAAUCAAACCGGGAGAUAGCUGGUUCUCCCCGAAAGCUAUUUAGGUAGCGCCUCGUGAAUUCAUCUUCGGGGGUAGAGCACUGUUUCGGCUAGGGGGUCAUCCCGACUUACCAACCCGAUGCAAACUACGAAUACCGAAGAAUGUUAUCACGGGAGACACACGGCGGGUGCUAACGUCCGUCGUGAAGAGGGAAACAACCCAGACCGCCAGCUAAGGUCCCAAAGUCAUGGUUAAGUGGGAAACGAUGUGGGAAGGCACAGACAGCCAGGAUGUUGGCUUAGAAGCAGCCAUCAUUUAAAGAAAGCGUAAUAGCUCACUGGUCGAGUCGGCCUGCGCGGAAGAUGUAACGGGGCUAAACCAUGCACCGAAGCUGCGGCAGCGACACUAUGUGUUGUUGGGUAGGGGAGCGUUCUGUAAGCCUGCGAAGGUGGCCUGUGAGGGUUGCUGGAGGUAUCAGAAGUGCGAAUGCUGACAUAAGUAACGAUAAAGCGGGUGAAAAGCCCGCUCGCCGGAAGACCAAGGGUUCCUGUCCAACGUUAAUCGGGGCAGGGUGAGUCGACCCCUAAGGCGAGGCCGAAAGGCGUAGUCGAUGGGAAACAGGUUAAUAUUCCUGUACUUGGUGUUACUGCGAAGGGGGGACGGAGAAGGCUAUGUUAGCCGGGCGACGGUUGUCCCGGUUUAAGCAUGUAGGCGGAGGUUCCAGGUAAAUCCGGUACCUUUUUAACGCUGAGGUGUGAUGACGAGGCACUACGGUGCUGAAGUAACAAAUGCCCUGCUUCCAGGAAAAGCCUCUAAGCAUCAGGUAACACGAAAUCGUACCCCAAACCGACACAGGUGGUCAGGUAGAGAAUACCAAGGCGCUUGAGAGAACUCGGGUGAAGGAACUAGGCAAAAUGGUGCCGUAACUUCGGGAGAAGGCACGCUGGUGUGUAGGUGAAGUAUUUACUCAUGGAGCUGAGACCAGUCGAAGAUACCAGCUGGCUGCAACUGUUUAUUAAAAACACAGCACUGUGCAAACACGAAAGUGGACGUAUACGGUGUGACGCCUGCCCGGUGCCGGAAGGUUAAUUGAUGGGGUUAUCCGUAAGGAGAAGCUCUUGAUCGAAGCCCCGGUAAACGGCGGCCGUAACUAUAACGGUCCUAAGGUAGCGAAAUUCCUUGUCGGGUAAGUUCCGACCUGCACGAAUGGCGUAAUGAUGGCCAGGCUGUCUCCACCCGAGACUCAGUGAAAUUGAACUCGCUGUGAAGAUGCAGUGUACCCGCGGCAAGACGGAAAGACCCCGUGAACCUUUACUAUAGCUUGACACUGAACACUGGUCCUUGAUGUGUAGGAUAGGUGGGAGGCUUUGAAGUGUGGACGCCAGUCUGCAUGGAGCCAUCCUUGAAAUACCACCCUUUAAUGGCUGGUGUUCUAACGUGGACCCGUAAUCCGGGUUGCGGACAGUGUCUGGUGGGUAGUUUGACUGGGGCGGUCUCCUCCUAAAGAGUAACGGAGGAGCACGAAGGUUAGCUAAUCCUGGUCGGACAUCAGGAGGUUAGUGCAAUGGCAUAAGCUAGCUUGACUGCGAGAGUGACGGCUCGAGCAGGUGCGAAAGCAGGUCUUAGUGAUCCGGUGGUUCUGAAUGGAAGGGCCAUCGCUCAACGGAUAAAAGGUACUCCGGGGAUAACAGGCUGAUACCGCCCAAGAGUUCAUAUCGACGGCGGUGUUUGGCACCUCGAUGUCGGCUCAUCACAUCCUGGGGCUGAAGUAGGUCCCAAGGGUAUGGCUGUUCGCCAUUUAAAGUGGUACGCGAGCUGGGUUUAGAACGUCGUGAGACAGUUCGGUCCCUAUCUGCCGUGGGCGCUGGAGAAUUGAGGGGGGCUGCUCCUAGUACGAGAGGACCGGAGUGGACGCAUCACUGGUGUUCGGGUUGUCAUGCCAAUGGCAUUGCCCGGUAGCUAAAUGCGGAAGAGAUAAGUGCUGAAAGCAUCUAAGCACGAAACUUGCCCCGAGAUGAGUUCUCCCUGAGACUUUAAGUCUCCUGAAGGAACGUUAAAGACGAUGACGUUGAUAGGUCGGGUGUGUAAGUGUAGCGAUACAUUGAGCUAACCGAUACUAAUGAACCGUGAGGCUUAACCUU